AAUAUGAAAAGUGAUAAAAUUGUAGGUAAAAUUUUUACCGUCGGUAACAAUUUAAACAGAAUGGCGGGAAAACAAGAUGGACACUCGUCUCCCAGUCAUGAGUGCGGCGGCCAUUUGCAUUUUUUCGCCAUAGUGACGCCAAAGUGCCUGCGUAAAUUUUGUUAAAAACUAUUAGUUUGUUGUGAAUAUAAGAUGAUUUGUGAAAUUUUUUUUAACUUUCUGAGUAAAAUAAUAAUCAUUUCAAUUGUUCCCUUUAUUGUUGAAAAUUCUAGGAAAAUUCAACUUCCGAUAGCAAAAUGAGAAAUUCAAGUUAUUAGAACUCGGUCUCCUUGAAAGGAUUAUUUUCCAAAUUUUUGGAUUCUAAUCUAGAGGAGGGAUCUCCGGGGACAAAUAACUUGAAGACUAUUAUUUAGCCGGGGUUGAUUUUUUUCGUUAGAGGGAAUAAAUUGAAAUGGUUUAAAAAUGAAGAUAGUGACAAAAAAAAAUUCCUACUGAUAUCAAAUGUUACAUCUAAAUUUUUCAAAAAAGAUUCAAUUGGCUUGUGUCUCACGUACUUCAAAGAUAAGGGCAAAAGUAAAAAAGGGUAUCUUGAAGGACACAGUUACAGACUUUUUAGAAUUCUGUCUAUUUUUACGGUUAUUCUUCACAUUUUCUGAAUGGAAAUUUAACUUGAAAGUAGGGAUCUCCGAGGGCUAUUUAGUUUGAAAGAAUCUCCUUGAAGCUGAAAAUUCCUU